GGCUCAGAACGAACGCUGGCGGCGUGCUUAACACAUGCAAGUCGAACGAACCUUCGGGUUAGUGGCGGACGGGUGAGUAACGCGUGAGAAUCUGCCCUCAGGAGGGGGAUAACGGUUGGAAACGACCGCUAAUACCCCAUAUGCCGAGAGGUGAAAAGAAAUUCGCCUGAGGAUGAGCUCGCGUCUGAUUAGCUAGUUGGUGUGGUAAUGGCGCACCAAGGCUUCGAUCAGUAGCUGGUCUGAGAGGAUGAUCAGCCACACUGGGACUGAGACACGGCCCAGACUCCUACGGGAGGCAGCAGUG
rnacentral:rRNA from 1 species